rnacentral:guide_RNA from 1 species
ACAAUAAACGAAUAAGUCUCAGUGAAUAAGAUAGUUAAUU